GAUGAAGAACGUAGCGAAAUGCGAUAAGUAAUGUGAAUUGCAGAAUUCAGUGAAUCAUCGAAUCUUUGAACGCACAUUGCGCCCGCCAGUAUUCUGGCGAGCAUGCCUGUUCGAGCGUCAUUUCAACCAUCAAGCCCCAGGCUUGUGUUGGGGCCCUGCGGCUGCCGCAGCCUCCCAAAACCAGUGGCGGGCUCGCUAUCACACCGAGUGCAGUAGUUUACUCUUCGCUCAGGGCGUGUGGCGGGUGCUAGCCGUGAAACCCCCAACUUCUCAAGGUUGACCUCGGAUCAGGUAGGAAUACCCGCUGAACUUAAGCAUAUCAAUAAGCGGAGGA
rnacentral:misc_RNA from 1 species